rnacentral:rRNA from 1 species
GACGAACGCUGGCGGCGUGCUUAACACAUGCAAGUCGAACGGUGAAGGAGAGCUUGCUCUCCGGAUCAGUGGCGAACGGGUGAGUAACACGUGGGCAACCUGCCCCAGACUACGGGAUAGCGCCUCGAAAGAGGUGCUAAUACCGGAUACGAACUCCUUGGGCAUCCUUGGAGUUGGCAAGUUUUUCGGUCUGGGAUGGGCCCGCGGCCUAUCAGCUUGUUGGUGAGAUAACGGCUCACCAAGGCGACGACGGGGAGCCGGCCUGAGAGGGCGACCGGCCACACUGGGACUGAGACACGGCCCAGACUCCUACGGGAGGCAGCAGUGGGGAAUAUUGCGCAAUGGGCGAAAGCCUGACGCAGCAACGCCGCGUGAGGGAUGACGGCCUUCGGGUUGUAAACCUCUUUCAGCAGGGAAGAAGCGAAAGUGACGGUACCUGCAGAAGAAGCACCGGCUAACUACGUGCCAGCAGCCGCCGUAA